AACAAAGCACAAUUGGAGAGCCGGUC
rnacentral:piRNA from 1 species